GACGAACGCUGGCGGCGUGCUUAACACAUGCAAGUCGAACGGAAAGGCCCUGCUUUUGUGGGGUGCUCGAGUGGCGAACGGGUGAGUAACACGUGAGUAACCUGCCCUUGACUUUGGGAUAACUUCAGGAAACUGGGGCUAAUACCGGAUAGGAGCUCCUGCUGCAUUGUGGGGGUUGGAAAGUUUCGGCGGUUGGGGAUGGACUCGCGGCUUAUCAGCUUGUUGGUGGGGUAGUGGCUUACCAAGGCUUUGACGGGUAGCCGGCCUGAGAGGGUGACCGGCCACAUUGGGACUGAGAUACGGCCCAGACUGCUACGGGAGGCAGCAGUGGGGAAUAUUGCACAAUGGGCGGAAGCCUGAUGCAGCAACGCCGCGUGCGGGAUGACGGCCUUCGGGUUGUAAACCGCUUUAGCCUGUGACGAAGCGUGAGUGACGGUAAUGGGUAAAGAAGCACCGGCUAACUACGUG
rnacentral:rRNA from 1 species